rnacentral:rRNA from 1 species
UUGUGGAGGGAGCCGUCGAAGGUGGGAUCGGUAAUUAGGACUAAGUCGUAACAAGGUAGCCGUACCGGAAGGUGCGGCUGGAUCACCUCCUUUCUAAGGAG